CUGAGUGAGGGCCUUCGGGCUCGACCUCCAACCCUUUGUGAACACCAACUGUUGCUUCGGGGGCGACCCUGCCGUUUCGACGGCGAGCGCCCCCGGAGACCAUCAAACACUGCAUCUUUGCGUCGGAGUUUAAGUAAAUUAAACA
rnacentral:misc_RNA from 1 species